AGGGUUGUGGCUCAGUGGUAAGAGCUUGCCUAGCAUGUGCAAGGCACGGGGUUCGAUCCCCAGACCACAUUG
rnacentral:tRNA from 1 species